rnacentral:rRNA from 1 species
UCUAACCGCAAGGAGGGCGACUACCUACGGUGGAGCGUCAUGACUGGGGUG